rnacentral:tRNA from 1 species
UGGGUUGUAGCUCAGAGGUAGAGCACUCACCUAGCAUGCGUGAGACACUGGGUUUGAUUGCUCAGCACCACAU